rnacentral:ribozyme from 1 species
UCAUGGAUCUAGUAUCUCCAGCGACGAAUUCUCCGCCAACUACUCUUCCCUCAACAACGGUUUUGUGUCUCGGCUAACGGCCAGUUCGUUGCCCAACCGACAACUGCUCAAGGA